rnacentral:sRNA from 1 species
AGCCAACAUGGCUCCAGUGGAGCACGUUGUGGCGGAUGCUGGGGCUUUCCUGCGGGAUGCGGCUCUGCAGGUACGGGGAGCUCCCUCCGGGACGAGAGAGAUCUGGGCUGGCCGCCCCUCCCGGAGUGCGUGGAGUCGCGCGGAGCGUUGCUUGGUGCGGGUGGGUCUGAGCUGGGGCGUUCUGUCCGCAGGACAUCGGGAAGAACAUUUACACCAUCCGGGAGGUGGUCACUGAGAUUCGGGACAAGGCCACACGCAGGCGGCUCGCUGUCCUGCCCUACGAGCUGCGGUUCAAGGAGCCCUUACCGGAAUACGUGCGGCUGGUGACUGAGUUUUCAAAGAAAACAGGAGACUACCCCAGCCUCUCUGCCACGGACAUCCAAGUGCUUGCACUCACAUACCAGUUGGAAGCAGAGUUUGUUGGGGUGUCUCACCUAAAACAAGAACCACAGAAGGUUAAAGUGAGCUCAUCGAUUCAGCACCCAGAAACACCUCUGCACAUUUCUGGUUUCCAUCUGCCCUACAAGCCUAAACCCCCACAAGAAACAGAAAAAGC